rnacentral:rRNA from 1 species
UGGGGAAUAUUGGACAAUGGGCGAAAGCCUGAUCCAGCCAUGCCGCGUGUGUGAAGAAGGUCUUCGGAUUGUAAAGCACUUUAAGUUGGGAGGAAGGGCAGUAAGCGAAUACCUUGCUGUUUUGACGUUACCGACAGAAUAAGCACCGGCUAACUCUGUGCCAGCAGCCGCGGUAAUACAGAGGGUGCAAGCGUUAAUCGGAAUUACUGGGCGUAAAGCGCGCGUAGGUGGUUCGUUAAGUUGAAUGUGAAAGCCCGGGGCUCAACCUGGGAACUGCAUCCAAAACUGGCGAGCUAGAGUAGGGCAGAGGGUGGUGGAAUUUCCUGUGUAGCGGUGAAAUGCGUAGAUAUAGGAAGGAACACCAGUGGCGAAGGCGACCACCUGGGCUCAUACUGACACUGAGGUGCGAAAGCGUGGGGAGCAAACAGG